rnacentral:rRNA from 1 species
AUUGAACGCUGGCGGCAUGCCUUACACAUGCAGGUCGAACGGCAGCACGGGAGCUUGCUCCUGGUGGCGAGUGGCGAACGGGUGAGUAAUACAUCGGAACGUACCCUGAAGUGGGGGAUAACGUAGCGAAAGUUACGCUAAUACCGCAUAUUCUGUGAGCAGGAAAGAGGGGGAUCGCAAGACCUCUUGCUUUAGGAGCGGCCGAUGUCGGAUUAGCUAGUUGGUGAGGUAAAGGCUCACCAAGGCGACGAUCCGUAGCUGGUCUGAGAGGACGACCAGCCACACUGGAACUGAGACACGGUCCAGACUCCUACGGGAGGCAGCAGUGGGGAAUUUUGGACAAUGGGGGGCAACCCUGAUCCAGCCAUUCCGCGUGAGUGAAGAAGGCCU